GCUGGGCAUGGUGGCACUUGCCUGUAAUCCCAGCAACUGGGAAGGCUGAGGCAGGAGAAUCACAAGUUUGAAGCCGGCCUGGGAUACCUGGGGAGAUCCAGUCUCAA
rnacentral:sRNA from 1 species